GUAGGUGGCAAGCGUUGUCCGGAAUUAUUGGGCGUAAAGCGCGCGCAGGUGGUUCUUUAAGUCUGAUGUGAAAGCCCCCGGGCUCAACCGGGGAGGGUCAUUGGAAACUGGGGAACUUGAGUGCAGGAGAGGAAAGUGGAAUUCCACAUGUAGCGGUGAAAUGCGUAGAUAUGUGGAGGAACACCAGUGGCGAAGGGGACUUUCUGGCCUGUAACUGACACUGAGGCGCGAAAGCGUGGGGAGCAAACAGGAUUAGAUACCCUGGUAGUCCACGCCGUAAACGAUGAGUGCUAAGUGUUGGGGGGGUUUCCGCCCCUCAGUGCUGCAGCUAACGCAUUAAGCACUCCGCCUGGGGAGUACGGUCGCAAAGACUG
rnacentral:rRNA from 1 species